UGGGGAAUCUUGGACAAUGGGGGCAACCCUGAUCCAGCCAUGCCGCGUGAGUGAUGAAGGCCUUAGGGUCGUAAAGCUCUUUCGCCUGUGAAGAUAAUGACGGUAGCAGGUAAAGAAACCCCGGCUAACUCCGUGCCAGCAGCCGCGGUAAUACGGAGGGGGUUAGCGUUGUUCGGAAUUACUGGGCGUAAAGCGCACGUAGGCGGAUCGGAAAGUUGGGGGGUGAAAUCCCGGGGGGCUCAACCCCCGGGAACUGCCUCCAAAACUAUCGGUCUAGAGUUCGAGAGAGGUGAGUGGAAUUCCAAGUGUAGAGGUGAAAUUCGUAGAUAUUUGGAGGAACACCAGUGGCGAAGGCGGCUCACUGGCUCGAUACUGACGCUGAGGUGCGAAAGUGUGGGGGAGCAAAGAGGAUUUAGAUACCCUGGUAGUCCACACCGUAAACGAUGAAUGCCAGUCGUCGGGUAGCAUGCUAUUCGGUGACACACCUAACGGAUUAAGCAUUCCGCCUGGGGAGUACGGUCGCAGAUUAAAA
rnacentral:rRNA from 1 species